AGUGAACGCUGGCGGUAGGCCUAACACAUGCAAGUCGAACGGCAGCACAGGAGGGCUUGCUCUCUGGGUGGCGAGUGGCGGACGUGUGUGGAAUACAUCUGAAUCUGCUCAGUCGUGGGGGAUAACGUAGGGAAACUUACGCUAAUACCGCAUACGACCUUCGGGUGAAAGAGGGGGAGUGCAAGACCUCUUGCGUUUGGAUGAUCCGAUGUCGGAUUAGCUAGUUGGCGGGGUAAUGGCCCACCAAGGCGACGAUCCGUAGCUGGUCUGAGAGGUUGAUCAGCCACACUGGAACUGAGACACGGUCCAGACUCCUACGGGAGGCAGCAGUGGGGAAUAUUGCACAAUGGGCGCAAGCCUGACCCAGCCAUACCGCGUGAGUGAAGAAGGCCUUCGGGUUGUAAAGCCCUUUUGUUGGGAAAGAAAACUUGCAGGCUAAUACCCUCGGAGGAUGACGGUACCCAAAGAAUAAGCACCGGCUAACUUCGUG
rnacentral:rRNA from 1 species